UGGGGAAUAUUGGACAAUGGGCGAAAGCCUGAUCCAGCCAUGCCGCGUGUGUGAAGAAGGUCUUCGGACUGUAAAGCACUUUAAGUUGGGAGGAAGGGCAGUAAGCGAAUACCUUGCUGUUUUGACGUUACCGACAGAAUAAGCACCGGCUAACUCUGUGCCAGCAGCCGCGGUAAUACAGAGGGUGCAAGCGUUAAUCGGAAUUACUGGGCGUAAAGCGCGCGUAGGUGGUUCGUUAAGUUGAAUGUGAAAGCCCCGGGCUCAACCUGGGAACUGCAUCCAAAACUGGCGAGCUAGAGUAGGGCAGAGGGUGGUGGAAUUUCCUGUGUAGCGGUGAAAUGCGUAGAUAUAGGAAGGAACACCAAUGGCGAAGGCGACCACCUGGGCUCAUACUGACACUGAGGUGCGAAAGCGUAGGGAGCAAACAGG
rnacentral:rRNA from 1 species